UACGUAGGGGGCAAGCGUUGUCCGGAAUCACUGGGCUUAAAGGGCGCGUAGGCGGGUGGUCAAGUCAGGGGUGAAAUCUUUCAGCUUAACUGGAAAACAGCUUCUGAUACUGGCCGUCUUGAGUGGGGUAGGGGCAUGUGGAACUUCCGGUGGAGCGGUGAAAUGCGUAGAUAUCGGAAGGAACGCCGGUGGCGAAAGCGACGUGCUGGACCCUUUCUGACGCUGAGGCGCGAAAGCCAGGGGAGCAAACGGG
rnacentral:rRNA from 1 species